CCCUGGUUAGCUUAGUUGGUAGAGCGCUCCACUGGAAAUGCAGUGGUCCCUGGUUCGAUACCCGGACCAGGCG
rnacentral:tRNA from 1 species